rnacentral:lncRNA from 1 species
GGCACUGGGGGGCUACUGGGAGGGCACUGGGCGGUACUGGUGGGCGCUGGGGGGAUACUGGGAGGGUGCUGGGGGCUACUGGGAGGCACUGGGAGGGGGCUGGGGGACACUGGAGGGCACUGGGAGGCACUGGGGGGAUACUGGGAGGGGGCUGGGUGGUAAAGGGAGGCACUGGGGGCUACUGGGAGGGCACUGGGAGGCUACUGGGAGGGCACUGGGGGCUAAUGGGAGGGGGCUGGGCGAUACUGGGAGGGCACUGGGGGGUACUGGUCUGUACUGGUGGGCACUGGGGCAUACUGGGGCACAUGGUGCUGCAGGUUAGGGUGUACUGGGAUGGACUGGGGGUCAACUGGUGUGUACUGGGGCCUGCUGGCGUGCUUACUGGUACAUACUGGUGGGUACUGGUGCGCGUGCUGGUUCACAGCAGGGAGGUGGAGGUGCCAGCCUGUGUAGACCUACAGGGCUCUAUACUGGUUUAUACUGGUCCGUACUGGUCUGUAUUGGCCUAUACUGUUUUAUAAUGGUGUAUACUGGUUCUUACUGGUCUAUACUGGUCCAUACUGGGCAGAGAAAUGAGUGCAAACACACUGCAGGGACGCAUCUGUGCCAGCCUGUGUAGACCUACAGGGUUUUGUACUGGUUUAUACUGGUCCGUACUGGUCUGUAUUGGCCUAUACUGGUUUAUAGUGGUGUAUACUGGUUCUUACUGGUCUAUACUGGUGUAUACUGGGCAGAGAAUCGAGCACAGAGUGGCUACACACUGCAGGGACGCAUCUGUGCCGGCCUGUAUAGACCUAUAGGGGUCCAAAGGGGUCCGUACUGGUCCAUACUGGUUUAUACUGGUUUGUACUGGUUUAUACUGGUCCUUACUGGUCUAUACUGGUCCAUACUGGGCAGAGAAGCGAGCACACCAUGGCCGCAUGCUGCAGGGACGCAUCUGUGCUGGCCUGUAUAGACCUAUAGGGGUCCAAAGGGGUCUGUACUGGUCCAUACUGGUCUGUAUUGGCCUAUACUGGUUUAUAAUGGUGUUUACUGUUUUUUACUGGUCUAUACUGGUCUAUACUGGGCAGAGAAGCGAGCACAGUGUGGCCACACGCUGCAGGGACGCAUCUGUGCCGGCCUGUAUAGAUCUACAGGGGUCUGUACUGGUUUAUACUGGUCCAUACUGGCCUAUACUGGUUUAUAAUGGUGUUUACUGUUUUUUACUGGUCUAUACUGGGCAGAGAAGCGAGCACAGCAUGGCCACACGCUUCAGGGACACAUCUGUGCCAGCCUGUAUAGACCUAUAGGGGUCCAAAGGGGUCCGUACUGGUCCAUACUGGUCCAUACUGGUUUAUACUGGUUUGUACUGGUUUAUACUGGUUUGUACUGGUUUAUACUGGGCAGAGGCACGCGAGUGCGUCAACUGCGGGGCGACGGCGACGCCGCUGUGGCGGCGGGACGGGACCGGGCACUACCUGUGUAACGCCUGCGGGCUCUACCACCGCCUCAACGGCCACAACCGGCCCCUAAUCCGCCCCAAAAAGCGCCUGGUGAGCCCCAAAUCCCCCCAAAUCCGCCCCAAAAAGCGCCUGGUGAGCCCCAAAUCCCCCCUAAUCC